rnacentral:tRNA from 1 species
AAACCAACAAGAACUGUUAACUCUCGCA